GCUGGGCACAGUGAUGCAUGCCUGUAAUCCCAGUGGCUUGGGAGGCUGAGACAGGAGGAUUGCAAAUUCAAAGCCAGCCUCAGCAAUUUAGCGAGGCUGUAAAUAACUCACUGUAGACUCUGUCUCCA
rnacentral:sRNA from 1 species